AUUGAACGCUGGCGGCAGGCCUAACACAUGCAAGUCGAACGAGUGGCGGACGGGUGAGUAAUGUCUGGGAAACUGCCCGAUGGAGGGGGAUAACUACUGGAAACGGUAGCUACUACCGCAUACCAUCGGAUGUGCCCAGGUGGGUUUAGCUAGUGGGUGGGUUAACGGAUCACCAAGGCGACCAUCCCUUGCUGGUCUGAGAGGAUGACCAGCCACACUGGACCGGAGACACGGCCCAGACUCCUACGGGAGGCAGCAGUGGGGAAUAUUGCACAAUGGGCGCAAGCCUGAUGCAGCCAUGCCGCGUGUGUGAAGAAGGCCUUCGGGUUGUAAAGUACUUUCAGCGAGGAGGCGUUACUCGCAGAAGAAGCACCGGCUAACUCCGUGCCAGCAGCCGCGGUAAUAC
rnacentral:rRNA from 1 species